rnacentral:rRNA from 1 species
CGGAAAUUCUACCGGGUACCGGUAGUCGUAACCUGGAACCGUAAAUCUUUCGCGGUCUCCUUUAACGUUAGCGGCGGACGGGUGAGUAACACGUGGGUAACCUACCUAUAAGACUGGAAUAACUCCGGGAAACCGGGGCUAAUGCCGGAUAACAUUUAGAACCGCAUGGUUCUAAAGUGAAAGAUGGUUUUGCUAUCACUUAUAGAUGGACCCGCGCCGUAUUAGCUAGUUGGUAAGGUAAUGGCUUACCAAGGCAACGAUACGUAGCCGACCUGAGAGGGUGAUCGGCCACACUGGAACUGAGACACGGUCCAGACUCCUACGGGAGGCAGCAGUAGGGAAUCUUCCGCAAUGGGCGAAAGCCUGACGGAGCAACGCCGCGUGAAUGAUGAAGGGUUUCGGCUCGUAAAACUCUGUUAUUAGGGAAGAACAAACGUGUAAGUAACUGUGCACGUCUUGACGGUACCUAAUCAGAAAGCCACGGUUAACUACGUGCCAGCAGCCGCGGUAAUACGUAGGUGGCAAGCGUUAUCCGGAAUUAUUGGGCGUAAAGCGCGCG